rnacentral:lncRNA from 10 species
CGAAGAGGACGUUUAAAUGAAAUCAUUACAGUAGGCCUAAAAUCAAUAUGACUGGUGUUCCUAUAAGGAGAAGAGAUUAAGUUGCACACAGAGGGAAGACCAUGAGCAGACAUGGGGAGAAGACGGCCCCCUACAAGCCAAGAAGAAAGACUUCAGAGGAAUCAACCCUGCUAAAAUCUUGAUCUUGGACUUCAAGACACCAGAAAUGAGAAAAUAACUUUCUGUUGUGUAAGCCACCCCAGCUGUGGUACUUUGUUAUGGCAGUCCUAGGAAACUAUGCACCACAGGCUCUCUCACAUGUCUUUUACAAAGGCACUAAUCCUAUUCAUGAGGGUUCUGACCUCAUGACUUAAUCACCUCCCCAAAGGCCUCACCUCCUAGUAGUAUCCCACUAAAGAUUAGGUUCCAACAUCCAAAUUUGCAGGGAGGAGGGGACACCAACAUUUGGAUGAUAGCACAAGUGGUAGACAAAGCUUGGAAACAGUUAUAUUGGGAAAUGACUUUCUUAAUGUUUACACUUCAUAAUAUGCUCUUCUCAGAAACCAAAAAUGUGAGUGUCGAUGAGGGCUUUGGCUCAUGGUCAAGGACAGAAAGAAUGAGAAAAAAAUGGCUUGAAGAUAUGUUUCUAAGGUCAAGCCAGCAGACCUGGUUAAUUAAUACAAUGCGUAGGUGAGAGGAGAAGAAACACGGAUGAGCCUAAGCUUAAGCUUUCUGAAGCUGAAUAAAUGGAGAUGGAGUUGCCUGGGAAAGGAGCAGGAUUUCAAAUACCAGAAGACAAUGAGAUAGAGAGGAGCAAGAAAAGUUAGCCGUGGAAAGACACAGUGCAAUGCAUUCCACUCGUGUAUCUGAAAACAGAGAACCCAUGAACGAUAAGACAAUAAACUUGAGUGGAGGGAAGGACAAUAAUCCUGUUCCCUUGCUUCUCAGAAUACAAGAUAAAAUGGUUAAAAUCCCUGAAUGAAUUACGUUUCAUUGGAAAAUGUGCAGUUGUCCCUUCGGUUCUUGAUGGAGAUCAGAAAAAUUGCAAGAGACUUCAUCAUCUGUUUACAUAUACUUAGGCACCGUCUUAUGUUGAUAUUGUAGAAUGAAGAAACAUAACUCAGUCACAAAAGCAUCCAAAUUAAAGGCCUACAACUUGCACUUGAAAAACCAA